rfam:Haemonchus placei strain MHpl1 genome assembly, scaffold: HPLM_contig0000032
GGCCCAAAUUUGAAGUAGAGUAGAUUGGAGGAUCAUCUGACCCUACUAAACUACUCUACAUCGAGUUUGUGCCC